AUUUUAUUUUCUGACAAUGUACAUAUUGUUUUUAUCCUGCAAUUUACACCUAGUACUUGAGCAUUAGUUGUAUAAAAUCAAAAUCAUUGCUUUUUUUAAAGAAAAAAAAUAUAUGGAUGUAUGCAAAAUAACAGAAAUAAAAUAUCUUGUUAUUGAAGAAAUUAUGAAACUCAUUUCCUACCCUCUCUGUUCCAUUUUAAAGAAAAGCCCUUAACAUAAGAACAUGCAUAAUCUCGCCCACUUCAUUGCUCCAUAUAUACACAUGUCCUUUACUUGUUAGUUAGCAUUCUGUCCAUAUCUGUAUCCAAUGAAUUUCUGCUAAUAUAGGCACACCUCCGUUUAUGGAGUAAAACAAUAAAAAUAGUUCCAGCACCACAAUAGUAUUGAAUAUCAAUCCAUCAAUAUAUUUACACUAUGAGCUUUAUGUACACAGUUC
rnacentral:lncRNA from 1 species